CUUUGCGAACCCCUUCCGGGCUGUCAAAACACGUGGCGACGUGCUCAGUCCCAAUAACUCCCGUGAUGAUUAAUGAGUGGCUUGAUCAUUUAAUAUCUCUUGUGAUUAAAUUAUCCGGCGUGGGAGGGGGAGCGGAGGAGGGGAGCUCCGUGCUGGCUCGCUAGCUCCCUCGCUCGCUCUCGGGGCCGCCCCGGGUGGACGCGGAGCAGCUGCCAGGGUCCCGGCUGCGCGCCAAGCCGCGCUCUUCCUCCACUCCCGGGCCCAGCGUCACUGGUGAGUCUCAGGUCCGCUCAUCCCCAAGAGGAAACUGAGGCAACAUGAAGUUUCUGGAAGAUUAGAGGCCACUGAUGCUGAAGUAAGGAGAGUCGAUGAAGAGGUGGCUAAAAUUCCCAUAGACAGCAGAGAUGAAUGAGAACAUGAGCCAAGGGAACAUUCCAGAACCUAUGAACAGGUGAAACAUCUUCAAGGCGAGCGUGGCGAGGCCGGUGAAGAGGAAGGGAAGGAAGCCAGGGCUGUUGCCAGCACCGGCCAGGGGAGACUCAUGCAUAAGCAUCAGCCUGUACGAUCCUUGCUUCCCUUUCCCUACCAGAAGGGAGAGUUGGAUGUUUCAGGCCUUUUGCAAUUUAAUGGUGAUACGAAGAUUCUCCCAGGCAGCCUUGGGCUUGUGAGGCACAUCAAAGACAUCAGCACAACUUGAGAGAAGCUGAGGACAGCUUGGGUGUUAUUGUCACUUCAGUUUAAAGGUGGCAAACCUAUCUCGCCGAGGAUCAACACUGAAUUAUUUCAACAUUUCAAAAAUAUAGAUAAGUGAUGCAUUUCUAAUGGCAUCCUUGUGGGCACUGGGUAGAUGGAUGAAUAUUGAGCAAGCCUUUGAAUGAAAGAUGUGAAGCUCAAUGAGACACAGGUUACCUCUUAAACACCACACACACACACACACACACACGUCCCACAGAGACGAAGCACCCCUACAAUUCAGCG